GCAGUCAAUUGUCCUUUAAUUGGGGAAAGGAAUGAAAGGGUUGACGAGGGGUGAGCUGUCUUUAUAGUAUAGUUUGAAGUUUUCUUUUACGUGAAAAGACUUAAAUUUAAAAAUAAGAAGAGAAGACCCCGGCGAGCUUGGUAAGGGUUAUUAAACUAAAAUAAUUAUUGAGGUUUGUUGGGGCAACGCAAAGGGAAAAUAACUCCUUUGAACGUAAUAAAGGUCCACUUAGAGUGAACAAAGCAAAAGCUACCGCGGGGAUAACAGCGCAAUUUUUUCAGAGAGUUCAUAUCGAAGAGAAUGUUU
rnacentral:rRNA from 1 species